GGCUUUUGUUUUGUUUUUAAAACAGCUACAAUUUGUUUCACACUGGUGCUAACUAUAUUAGGACAUUUAGGUUAGAUAUGCCUAACAUGAAAAUUAUCAUAGCUUAUGUAGCCCUUGGAGCUAGUCGUGUUUUUAACUUACAUACUUUACUGCAAGGCAUGUGGGUCUACUGUUAAUGUGUUCUAUUUGAAGAGGAAUUUCAUUUAAUAUGAUAAAAGAAAAGCGGAUUUAAACAAAUAUUCACUAUAAAGAAAGGGAAAAUAUUUUGAAAAGAAAAGUUCAAGUAACCAAGAAGAUUUUUAGAAAUUAAAUUAUCCAUUGUGUUAAACAUGAUGAUAUCUCUAUUUCAAACGUUUACGUAUGCAAGACAAUAUAUCAUUUUUAUCGUAUUAUAUUGUCUUAUUUAAAAAUGUCAGUGCGUUGAAUACCCAAAGUCUGUGGAGUACUUGUUAGGAAGUUUUACAGAAAUCACAUUUUGAAACUCUGUUCACAGAACACACAUUAUGAAACGCUGUUCACGGAACACACAUUUUGAAACGCUGUUUAAAAACACACAUUUUGAAGCGCUGUUCACAGAAAACACAUUUUGACGCGCUUUUCAAACACCACACAAUUUGAAGCGCUGUUCACAGAAAAGACAUUUUGAAGCGCUGUUCAUGGAACACACAUUUUCAAGCGCUGUUCACGGAACACACAUUUUGAAGCGCUGUUCACAGAACACACAUUUUGAAACACUGCAUAACAAAAUAUUUGAUUUUGUUCAUUUUCAGAUGAGCUGUCCCCCUUCAUCAAACUCACAAGCACUGCUCUUGAGAAGAGACUCCUUGUAUCCGAUGAUUUAUUGAAAAAUAGAGUCCCUGUUUUUAAAAAAAGGCACCAAUUAUUCCAUUUUCAUUGGCAAAUAGAGUCAAACCACCCAUCCUUACCAGGUUAAACCAACAGCUGGCAUUGAGAAGGAAAUUCUUCCCUGGAAGCAAGAACUGACUAAACAGGAAAUGAAGCCAUCCACCCUUGUCAAACAUGGCAUAGAUAGGAUACGAACGUUUUACACCUCAGACGACGCCUUCAGCACUCAUUCUGUAGUGUCAAGCUCAGAGCGCAAAGUGAGAGCUGAUAUGGAGGAAAGUGAAGAGGAUGCAGAAGUUGGUACGUGGUUAGACAAAAGUGAAGAGCAGUUUGAACUUCGUACGUCAAUAGACAUACGCCUGAGUAUGUUGUCUCCCGUGAUAUAUCAUACCCAUGUAUGUAUGUAUCAAUAUGUUGUGAUUUUGUAAUCUUAAACAAAUGAUAUGCCAUUGCACUUCCUCAGACAAACAUGGUU